ACACAAUUUCUUACCAUCCUGAAGCAUCAUCAACAAUAAAACUGCCGUGGACACAGGGGUGGCCGAGUGGCCAGCUGUGCCUUGAAAUGCCUGAAGCCAUUGCAAUCAGUGCUCCACUGUCUGAGGCUCCCAAAAUAAAACACUUUGAACACUCAUUCCAAGG
rnacentral:lncRNA from 1 species